AGCAGCCGCGGUAAUUCCAGCUCCAAUAGCGUAUAUUAAAGUUGUUGCAGUUAAAAAGCUCGUAGUUGAAUUUCGGGGUUAGCAGGUCGGUCGUGCCAUCGGUAUGAACUGGUCUCGCUGAUCCCUCCCUCUUGACGAACCGUGAUGCCAUUAAUUUGGUGUCGCAGGGAAUCAGGACUGUUACUUUGAAAAAAUUAGAGUGUUUAAAGCAGGCUUACGCUUGAAUACAUUAGCAUGGAAUAAUGAAAUAGGACGUUUGAUCCUAUUUUGUUGGUUUCUAGGAUUGACGUAAUGAUUAAUAGGGAUAGUUGGGGGCAUUAGUAUUCAAUUGUCAGAGGUGAAAUUCUUGGAUUUAUUGAAGACUAACUACUGCGAAAGCAUUUGCCAAGGAUGUUUUCAUUAAUCAAGAACGAAAGUUAGGGGAUCGAAGACGAUCAGAUACCGUCGUAGUCUUAACCAUAAACUAUGCCGACUAGGGAUCGGAUGAUGUUAAUUUUUUAAUGACUCAUUCGGCGCCUUA
rnacentral:rRNA from 1 species